rnacentral:misc_RNA from 1 species
AAAAGAGUCGCUGUUAAAAUCAAUACAAUCCUCAGAACUUCUGUUGUUAGGAUUCAUGAAACAUUCACAAACAAACUGAACAUUAAGUAAGAAAGAAUCUUAUAAAACACAAAUCCAGAUUAUACAGCCAAAGAAACGGAGUUGAGCUCGACGGGGAUUACAGAUUAGAUUCUAAUCUAACGAUAACUAGAUUAAAUAAGAUCAAACAGAGAAAUCACAUAAAACUGAACAUCAGGACAAAGCAGUUACAAUCACUUCAUGGUAUUACUUAAAACAUGGGGGGCGUGUUAAUUCACCAUGGAGAUGUCAGACGAGGUGGACGCUAACAAUUACUCCGGGACUGGCAAGGAGAAGGCACAUACGGCGGGAACGCUGAAUCUCGAACGCCUCCGAGAAGAAGCGGUGCGAGAUACGAAAUUCGAAAGAACAAUUUCCCAGGAUAGUGGGUUUGGAGACGAUAAUAAACUGAAUAGAGGCUCGGUAUCUAGUACCACCAGUGCGGACGAACUAUCAGGGUCGGGCUCAGAGUCUGAACCAAAUGUACCCUCUGAUUCACCUGUAAACCAAGCGCCAUUACGUAAGAGCUCUGCGUCUUGCUCAAGCGGUAAUCUGCCUAAAAUCCCCGAGGAAAGCUCUUCUGAGCCGACGUGUUUAAACUCACAAAGCAUCGAAGGACAAAGUAAUACAGACGAUGUAUUUGUCGAUGCGCCUAGUAACACAAACGACCAAGAAAACGCUGUAAAGGAGAAACCACGUAAAACUCUCGUUGAUACUGGAACAUCACCGUGCCUAGGACACAGUGAGGACAAAGGGAAACAAACGAUUGUGGAUACAAACAAAAUAAAUACAUUAUAUACUGAUCCAGUCAAUACAAAGAAAUCAGGCAUGGAGAAAAAACACAAAAAAGAAUCGAUGAAUAAAAGCAAGGCCAAGAAACCAUUGAAACCAACGGCGCCUAUGCCACCCGGUGCGUCUUGGAGAGACUAUAAAAGUAUCGCCCAAGGUGGCAAAGGUGAGUUUAGAUGGUGGGAAAACACUGACUCUGAAGGAGAGGCAACUCCAAAAGCUCGAAGGUCAAGGUCACCGGCGGCGGCCGAUGAGUUAAAUACUCGUCUAGGGAAGGUUGCUAUAACAAAUGAUAAUGCUCCGAAUGAAACUAAGACCAAAAAGAAUAGCCCACCUCCAUUGAACCACAGACAUAUCCCAGUCAUUCGAUCAGUACGUGAUCAACGGUCAAGGUCACCAUCUCCUACAAUUAACUGUCUCUCGAUCUUAAAGUUUAGGAAUCGACUGAAGAAAUCUAAAAAUAAACGCCAACCAGAAGUUCCGAUUCAACCGAAAGAUACUGCAGUUACGGUAGAAAAUCUAAGAGCGACACCCAAGGACACUGCGAGAGAGAGCGAAGACAGCGGCAUGCCACAUUCCAACUCCGAUUCGGAUAAUAGCGUAACUGAUACGAAAACCAAGGAAAAACAAAAAGCUGAAAUUACCAAGAAAGACCCUAUGGAAUCAGAUGAAUCGGAGUCCAAAUUAUUCAAGGAACUCCAAGAAACUAAAGAACGAACUGUCGCAAACGGAGGAAAGGCAGUCUUCAACUGGUGGGACGAUGACGAUGACGACUCAAAGAGUACUGAUAGCAGAGAGAGUGGUUCGUCUAACGGCAGUGAAAAGCACGUGGGGAGACGCCAUUCUACCAGUUCCAAGGUGGGAUUUGGUUUGACAGGUUCAUCAACAGCGAUGAUGAGACGUUCUCAUAGGAUGAGAGACAAGCCUGGAAAACUGUACCAACUGAAUCGAUACGAGAGAGACUAUUACUAUAACAACCAUGGUUUCGGAGAACGCCCAGGUCAAGGAACCGAGAGACCGAAUGUCAGUGGGUAUCAAAUGUACGGGGAACGCAAAUCGGCAAAAGGCAUGAGCCCAUUUGGUGGGUUGUCCCGCAAAGAAAAGUCAUAUAUGGGAUCAAAGGGUGCAGCAACCGGAGGAAGAAAGAGCGGUAAACGACGAUAACGUAUAGCAGUUACGGAUAAGUAUUCUGAAAAGCGAUGAUUAAUGAAUAUGCAGUGGCAGUUGCAUGACUAGAAUAACAUACGUAUGAAGUAUGCGUACACUUCGUGUGUAAUUACGUACACGUAUACUCGUAUAGACUUUUUUGAUUUUGUACAUGACUUCAAUUGAAUACGUGCGUGAUAUGCGUACACUGCAAGUGUUAUUCUGUAGAAGUACUCACAUGCACGUAUAAACGUUUCUUCACAUGAUUUGAAUUGUACACGUACUGCAUAUAUACUUAUAUACUUGCCCUUCACGUGUUAUUCUGUACAUGUAUACAGGUAUAGACGCUUCUUUGCUUGACGUGAUUCGUGAAU